rnacentral:lncRNA from 1 species
GAGUGGGGAGGGAGGGAAGAAGUGUUCUCCAUGCAAGGACCUAUCUGUGCAAAAGCCCAGAGCUGGGACUCCAUGUCCAGGGCAGCUCUGGUCCAUUGCUGCCCACUUCUGGGCCUGCUUAUCCAUCUGGAUGGGAAACAGGCUCAGAGAGGGGCAGAGUCAAUGGAGGACACCAGCAUGUAGGGAACAGUGUCAGCCCCAGAUUCCUGCCUCCAGACUGUCCUAAACACCACCCUCCCCGCG